rnacentral:rRNA from 1 species
CCUACGGGUGGCUGCAGUGAGGAAUAUUGGUCAAUGGGCGCGAGCCUGAACCAGCCAAGUCGCGUGAGGGAAGACGGUGCAGUGCAUUGUAGACCUCUUUUGUCGGGGGGCAAAAGACGCCACGCGUCGCGUUCCGAGGGUACCCGGAGAAAAAGCAUCGGCUAACUCCGUGCCAGCAGCCGCGGUAAUACGGAGGAUGCGAGCGUUAUCCGGAUUUAUUGGGUUUAAAGGGUGCGCAGGCGGAAGAUCAAGUCAGCGGUAAAAUUGAGGGGCUCAACCGCGUCGAGCCGUUGAAACUGGGUGUCUUGAGUGAGCGAGAGGUAUGCGGAAUGCGUGGUGUAGCGGUGAAAUGCAUAGAUAUCGCGCAGAACCCCGAUUGCGAAGGCAGCAUACCGGCGCUCCACUGACGCUGAGGCACGAAAGUGUGGGGAUCGAACAGGAUUAGAUACCCUGGUAGUC